rnacentral:rRNA from 1 species
GUCUACAGCCAUGCUACCCUGAACAAACCCAAUCCCUUCUGAUCUUGGAAGCUAAGCAGGGUUGGGCCUGGUUAGCACUUGGAUGGGAGACCACCUAGGAAGUCCAGGUGCUGUAGGUG